CGGUGUUCAACUGGCGUGCCCGCGGGACGUCCUGCCGGUGAGCUCAGCCCGCGAGGGCGGCUCAACUUGAAAUCCCAUCGCGGUGCUCUUCAUUGAGUGUCGAGGUGGGCCGGCACGAUUACUUUUGAACAAAUUAGAGUGCUUAAAGCAGGCUAAAAUUUUGCCUGAAUACUGUGUAUAUGGAAUAAUGGAAUAGGACCUCGGUUCUAUUUUGUUGGUUUUCGGAACCCCCGAGGUAAUGAUUAAUAGGAACGGAUGGGGGCAUUCGUAUUGCGACGUUAGAGGUGAAAUUCUUGGAUCGUCGCAAGACGGACUAAAGCGAAAGCAUUUGCCAAAAACGCUUUCAUUGAUCAAGAACGAAAGUUAGAGGUUCGAAGGCGAUCAGAUACCGCCCUAGUUCUAACCAUAAACUAUGCCAGCUAGCGAUCCGCCGACGUCCCUCUGAUGACUCGGCGGGCAGCUUCCGGGAAACCAAAGCUUUUGGGUUCCGGGGGAAGUAUGGUUGCAAAGCUGAAACUUAAAGGAAUUGACGGAAGGGCACCACCAGGAGUGGAGCCUGCGGCUUAAUUUGACUCAACACGGGAAACCUCACCAGGCCCAGACACUGGAAGGAUUGACAGAUUGAGAGCUCUUUCUUGAUUCAGUGGGUGGUGGUGCAUGGCCGUUCUUAGUCGGUGGAGCGAUUUGUCAGGUUAAUUCCGAUAACGGACGAGACUCUGACCUGAUAACUAGACGCACUUGCGGCAUCUCAAAGGUCCGCCGGCGGCUGGCUUUGCGCCCGUCGUCGCGCGCGAUUUUUACUGCCGGCGUACAAUAAAUUCUUCUUAGAGGGACAAGUGG
rnacentral:rRNA from 1 species